AAUUAAAUAUAGGGGAGCUUGUAGGCAGGCUGAGAGGAAGUAAUCAACUUCGACCCUUAAACCUGAUUUGGAUAAUGCCAACGUAGGAAUUAAGUAUAGGAUUUAA
rfam:Eubacterium sp. CAG:192 genomic scaffold, scf182